CUUUUUUCCUUCUGCGUCUUUCUGUCAAGCUCCACGACGUUGUUCUCUAUAAACAUUCUUACAAAGGUAAACAUGGAAAAUACAUCCAGAGUGUGUACCAAUCUGAGCUGAAACCUGCACCCUUCUUUUAACUGAAGCAAGAGGAAUGUGUUCCUGGGAGCAGCUGAGAAGGGCUACACACGUCUGAAGGUUUCUUCCUCGGCAUGGGUCAGCCUACCCCAGCAAGCACUGCAUGGAAGGAAGGGAAACGCAAUGGACAGCAUGCGGUGAUGAAGAGGAUCAGGUGGCUCCAGCUUUCUGCACGGAACUCUUACUUGUGCCUGAACUAACAUCCCCACGGACAGCACAAAGGAAGGUGUCCAGAGAAUGGAAAUGUCAAACGCAGCGCAGGCAGCAACUGUUAAGCCCAGAAUCACGCUCGUGCAUGCACGGCAACUCUUGGCUGCUAAAUGCUGAACUAAUUGUGAUCCAUUCCUGCCUGGAAUGGUCUGGAAACCAUUAGAAACAAGUAUUGAAACUUGAAAUGGGAUUAUUUGUCUUGUAUCGCACAGCAAUUUAGGAGCCAAUCAAUAGAAAAUGUGCUUAAUCUAACUGAUGUGAAGAAUGCAGGAACAGUGAGAGAGACGCAGCACCAUCCUGGACUCAGUGACCUGCAGUCACAACAUGUGCAGUAGUCUUUACAACCUGUGUUUCAACUUCUGGACUAUGAAAGUCAUGAUUAGUGUUUAGGGAUAAAGUGAUGUCUUCUAGUAAAAUGACAUUAUUUUGUAGAAUGAUAUUUUGCAGUGAUAUAUUCUGGUUAUAUGUGGAGCUUUACUUUAUACAGAUUGUGUCAGUUUAGCACUUUUGGAUUUUCUCCCAUUCUUCCUUUUAGAUUUUUUUCAACCACAUUGAAGUUAGACAGAAAACAAAUGUUCACUUUUGGCUCAAAGACCUCCACAUUGUUGUGUUGCAGCUAUUGCAGAGGUGAUUUGGCCCUUAUGCCUGAGGUCUUGUUGGAACACCCCGCCUAAAGUUUGUGGCAUUCUGCCGCAGGUUUUAUUUAUUGUU